rnacentral:rRNA from 1 species
UACGGGGGGAGCAAGCGUUGUUCGGAUUUACUGGGCGUAAAGGGCGCGUAGGCGGCGCGACAAGUCACUUGUGAAAUCUCUGGGCUUAACCCAGAACGGUCAAGUGAUACUGUCGUGCUAGAGUGCGGAAGGGGCAACUGGAAUUCUUGGUGUAGCGGUGAAAUGCGUAGAUAUCAAGAGGAACACCUGCGGCGAAGGCGGGUUGCUGGGCCGACACUGACGCUGAGGCGCGAAAGCCAGGGGAGCGAACGGG